rnacentral:lncRNA from 7 species
UUAAUUCUCAUAUUAUUGUUUAUGAGCAAAAAGAGGAGCUGUUUGUGCAGACUAUCAUUUAACUAUUUAAGUACAGCCCAUGUUCUUAUGUGGACUUCUGGUAAUUGAGAACUAAAUGAGGAAUAGCAAGCAUUUAUCCGUGACUCUCCAACGCUCUUACACACUCAUCAUAUAUUAAAUUGUUGCCAUGUGGUAGUGGCAGUGUGGCACGCUGCACAGGAGAAAUGUACUGCGCGCGUACAAAAAGCUGGCAUCUAGAACCACUAGCAGGUACAGAGGAAAAGGCAAAUAAUAGACACUAGAGAUCAUUGACUAUUCAUCAGCAUUUUGUAGGCCCGACCAGUUUCAUG